GGGUGCUCAGAAAGCAUGCGUCCCUUAGAGUCCCACGAAAAGGUUCUCAGUGCGCUCUCUAUCAAGUGCUAUGAGUCUUGAUAAAUUGGAGAAGAGCCCAAGAGAAAUUUUUCAUCCCUUGAUAUAAAAGGAUUUAUUGGUUCUGGAAGAACAAGAGGGAAGUACAAGCCUAACUUCUUCUAGCUCACAGACCCGUCCGGUGA